rnacentral:rRNA from 1 species
UACGUAGGGUGCGAGCGUUAAUCGGAUUUACUGGGAGUAAAGCGUGCGCAGGCGGCCCGUUAAGACAGGUGUGAAAUCCCUGGGCUCAACCUAGGAAUUGCGCUUGUGACUGGCGGGCUCGAGUACGGUAGAGGGGGGUGGAAUUCCUGGUGUAGCAGUGAAAUGCGUAGAGAUCAGGAGGAACACCGAUGGCGAAGGCAGCCCCCUGGGCCUGUACUGACGCUCAUGCACGAAAGCGUGGGGAGCAAACAGG